AGCGAACGCUGGCGGCAGGCUUAACACAUGCAAGUCGAGCGGGCAUCCUUGUGGUGUCAGCGGCAGACGGGUGAGUAACGCGUGGGAACGUGCCCUUCGGUUCGGAAUAACUCAGGGAAACUUGAGCUAAUACCGGAUACGUGCGAGAGCAGAAAGGUUUAUCUGCCGAAGGAUCGGCCCGCGUCUGAUUAGCUAGUUGGUGAGGUUAUGGCUCACCAAGGCGACGAUCAGUAGCUGGUCUGAGAGGAUGAUCAGCCACACUGGGACUGAGACACGGCCCAGACUCCUACGGGAGGCAGCAGUGGGGAAUAUUGGACAAUGGGGGCAACCCUGAUCCAGCCAUGCCGCGUGAGUGAUGACGGCCUUAGGGCUGUAAAGCUCCUUUCUCCGGGACGAUAAUGACGGUACCGGAGGAAUAAGCCCCGGCUAACUUCGUG
rnacentral:rRNA from 1 species